CCCCCUCCUGGGUCUGUUGGUGCGUGACCGUGACCGGGGGUCAAGGCCUGCCGGGCUUUAAGCUAACUCAAGAGGACUCGCCUCCCGCCAACACAGGCCUUACUUCAAAAAAUAAAUACUUGUAAAGCGAGGGAAACAAGGGUCCCACACAGAGGUAAAGGUGGCUUCCUUGCACGGUAAACGGGAGAGAGACCUGGGCAGCGUGACAUGUGCCAAGGCUGGCCCUCUCCUCCAGCCAACCCUCCUGGCAGGCGGGGGCCUCAGGGAUCCCUGUGGAGAGGGAACUCUGCCAGCCAGAGUGGGGGACUCUGCAGCAGGCCCAGCCACCACUCUUCGUUGACACAGUUGCAUUAAAAAUUCAGGAUAUAAAUUUGAACAAGGGUUAGCCAUUCCCAGAGCAAACAGCCUUGCAGGGGCCCCCCCGCCCCCCAGAGCCCACUGCGCCAGCCAGAGCAAACAGUCCCCCCCCACCACCGCUGCCGCCUGCUCUCCACCUCCCCUCCUGGAAGCCAGUCUUCUGAGACAGCAGAGCCCAGAGCUGGUGGAUGGUGAACUUGGACAAGGCGGCCCGUGGGGAUUAAUCCUGUGGGUUCAUUUGACGGGGCUCAGGCUGCCCAGAUACCUGGAAAGACAUGAUUUCCAGGUGUGUCCAUGUCAUGUUUCCAGAGGAGAUGAGCUUUGGGAUAGGGAAACUGAGCAAAUAAGAUCGUCCUCACCAACGCGGGUGCGCACCUUGCAAUCCGCUCUUGCACCUGGGCAGUCCUGGUUCUCUGGCCUUCACAGAUUACCCCAGCAUCCAGGUCCUCCGGCUCGGACUCUGGACUCCGUAGUCAUAUGAAUGACUCCCGCAGGAAACCUGCCUGUCCAUUGGCCUCUCUCUCUCCCCAUCUAGCCACUCCACUUGUCUGGUUUCUAUGGCGAAUGCUGACUAAUACACAGCCCAGGAGAUGGGGCACAGGGGGACUUGGGCCCACCCUUUGGAGGAGGAGGUGGCCAGAUGAAGCAAAGGGAUCAUGGGGUUUGCAUUUGAUCCUGGUCUGGAGUCUCGUGUGCGGAAGACGGAAAGAAGACAGAGUUGGCUUGGCCCUGACCUAUGGAAGGCCAGACCUCUGAUGACGGGAGAAUUAUUUUUGAAAGCUGCAGUCUGAAGAGGGGAGCUCCCUCUGGGCUGUUGUCAAGUCAAUUUCCACGGUCUCCAGGGCUGACGUGGAAAACACUGCACCGGACAGAGACCGCGGAGGGAGAGGGCCCCGGUGCUCCCAGGGCCUCCUGGGGCUGCAGUGAUCCGCUCACGUUUGCCAGUGCUAGACGGGAA